rnacentral:rRNA from 2 species
UGAGGAAUAUUGGACAAUGGGCGCAAGCCUGAUCCAGCCAUGCCGCGUGCAGGAAGACGGCCCUAUGGGUUGUAAACUGCUUUUAUACGGGAAGAAACACCCCCUCGUGAGGGGGCUUGACGGUACCGUAAGAAUAAGGAUCGGCUAACUCCGUGCCAGCAGCCGCGGUAAUACGGAGGAUCCAAGCGUUAUCCGGAAUCAUUGGGUUUAAAGGGUCCGUAGGUGGACGAUUAAGUCGGAGGUGAAAUCCUGCAGCUCAACUGUAGAAUGGCCUUUGAUACUGGUUGUCUUGAAUCAUUGUGAAGUGGUUAGAAUAUGUGGUGUAGCGGUGAAAUGCAUAGAUAUCACAUAGAAUACCGAUUGCGAAGGCAGAUCACUAACAAUGUAUUGACACUGAUGGACGAAAGCGUGGGGAGCGAACAGG